AGAGUUUGAUCAUGGCUCAGGACGAACGCUGGCGGCGUGCCUAAUACAUGCAAGUCGAGCGCGGGAAGCAGACAGAUCUCUUCGGAGUGACGUUUGUGGAACGAGCGGCGGACGGGUGAGUAACACGUGGGCAACCUGCCUGUAAGACUGGGAUAACUUCGGGAAACCGGAGCUAAUACCGGAUAACACCUCGGAUCGCAUGAUCCGAGGUUGAAAGAUGGCUUAUCGCUAUCACUUACAGAUGGGCCCGCGGCGCAUUAGCUAGUUGGUGAGGUAACGGCUCACCAAGGCGACGAUGCGUAGCCGACCUGAGAGGGUGAUCGGCCACACUGGGACUGAGACACGGCCCAGACUCCUACGGGAGGCAGCAGUAGGGAAUCUUCCGCAAUGGACGAAAGUCUGACGGAGCAACGCCGCGUGAGUGAGGAAGGCCUUCGGGUCGUAAAACUCUGUUGUUAGGGAAGAACAAGUACCGUUCGAAUAGGUCGGUACCUUGACGGUACCUAACCAGAAAGCCACGGCUAACUACGUGCCAGCAGCCGCGGUAAUACGUAGGUGGCAAGCGUUGUCCGGAAUUAUUGGGCGUAAAGCGCGCGCAGGCGGUUCCUUAAGUCUGAUGUGAAAGCCCACGGCUCAACCGUGGAGGGUCAUUGGAGACUGGGGAACUUGAGUGCAGAAGAGGGGAGCGGAAUUCCACGUGUAGCGGUGAAAUGCGUAGAGAUGUGGAGGAACACCAGUGGCGAAGGCGGCUCUCUGGUCUGUAACUGACGCUGAGGCGCGAAAGCGUGGGGGAGCGAACAGGAUUAGAUACCCUGGUAGUCCACGCCGUAAACGAUGAGUGCUAGGUGUUAGGGGUUUCCACCCUUAGUGCUGCAGUUAACGCAAUAAGCACUCCGCCUGGGGAGUACGGCCGCAAGGCUGAAACUCAAAGGAAUUGACGG
rnacentral:rRNA from 1 species